GGUGCCCCUGGCUGAAAAGGCCAAGGCGUGUCGGAGUAAUUCAGUUAAGGGAAUUCGGCAAAUUAGCUCCGUAACUUCGGGAGAAGGAGUGCCUGCUGUGAAGACAGCAGGUCGCAGUGACCAGGGGGCUCUAACUGUCUAAUACCAACAUAGGAGAUUGCAAACCUGUAAAGGCUAGUACAAUCUCUGAAUCCUGCUCAGUGCAGGUACCUGAAACCCCGGUUCAACGGGAAGAAGGGCCUGUAAACAGCGGGGGUAACUAUGACCCUCUUAAGGUAGCGUAGUACCUUGUCGCUUAAUUGGCGACUUGCAUGAAUGGAUCAAUGAGAGCCCUACUGUCCCUAACUGGAAUCCGGUGAAGCUUACAUUCUAGUGCACAGUCUAGAGACCUCUAGGGGGAAGUGAAGACCCCGUGGAGCUUUACUGCAGCCUGUCGUUGGGUUGUGGUUCUGGAUGUACAGUGUAGGUAGGAGGCGUCGAAGCGGGUGCGCCAGCAUCCGUGGAGCCGUCCAUGGGACACUACCCUUCUGGGACUGCGACCCUAACUCUGAGAAGAGGACCCCGAUAGGUGGGCAGUUUGCCUGGGGCGGGACGCCCUUGAAAAGAUAUCAAGGGCGCGCAAUGGUUGACUCAAGUGGGUCGGAAACUCACUGAAGAGUGUAAGAGCAUAAGUCAGCCUGACGUUAUUCAGCACAGUAGUGGAUGACGAGACGAAAGUCGGCUCUAGCGAACUUUUGUGCCUCCUUGGUGGGGGCCAAAAAUGACAGAAAAGUUACCCCGGGGAUAAUUGAGUCGUUGCCGGCAAGAGUACAUAUCGACCCGGCAGCUUGCUACCUCGAUGUCGGUUCUUUCCAUCCUGGCCGUGCAGCAUCGGCCAAGGGUGAGGUUGUUCGCCUAUUAAAGGAGAUCGUGAGCUGGGUUUAGACCGUCGUGAGACAGGUCGGUUACUAUCUACUAGAGGUGUCUGAGGUCUGCGGGUAAGCUGCUUUUAGUACGAGAGGAACCAAGCAGCGGCGCCACUGGUGUACCGGUUGUUCGACAGGGCAUUGCCGGGCAGCUACGCGCUAAGGAAUAAGAGCUGAAUGCAUCUAAGUUCGAAAUCCGACCUAAAAAGAGACCUCAUUAAGGAUUCCGGUAAAAGACCGGUUUGAUAGAAACGGGAUGUAAGCACCAAGGCAACGAGGUGUUCAGUCCGCGUU
rnacentral:rRNA from 2 species